AUUGAACGCUGGCGGCAGGCCUAACACAUGCAAGUCGAGCGAGCGGCGGACGGGUGAGUAAUGUCUGGGAACCUGCCUGAUGGAGGGGGAUAACUCCUGGAAACGGUAGCUACUACCGCAUACCAUCAGAUGUGCCCAGUUGGGAUUAGCUAGUAGGUGGGGUAACGUCUCACCUAGGCGACGAUCCCUAGCUGGUCUGAGAGGUUGACCAGCCACACUGGAACUGAGCCACGGUCCAGACUCCUACGGGAGGCAGCAGUGGGGAAUAUUGCACAAUGGGCGCAAGCCUGAUACAGCCAUGCCGCGUGUAGGAAGAAGGCCUUCGGGUUGUAAAGUACUUUCAGCGGGGAGGCGUUACCCGCAGAAGAAGCACCGGCUAACUCCGUGCCAGCAGCCGCGGUAAUAC
rnacentral:rRNA from 1 species